GGCCGAGGCGGGUGGAUCACGAGGUCAAGAGAUCGAGACCAUCCUGGUCAAGUUGGUGAAACCCCGUCUCUACUAAAAGUACAAAAAAUUAGCUGGGCAUAGUGGCACGUGCCUGUAAUCCCAGCUACUCAGGAGGCUGAGGCGGGAGAAUUGCCUGAACCGAGGAGGCGGAGGUUGCGGUGAGCCGAGAUCGCGCCAUUGCACUCCAGCCUGGGUAAACAAGAGCGAAACUCCGUCUCGGGGCGUGGGGGGAGCCGGGCGUGGUGGGCAUGCCUGUAAUCUCAGCUACUAAAGAGGCUAAGGCACGAGAAUCGCUUGGGCCCGGGAGGGGGAGGUUGCAGUGAGCCGAGAUAGCGCCACUGCACUCCCCAGCCUGGGCAGUAGAGACUGCCUCAAAAAAUAAAUAAAUAACUAAAAAGAACGAAAAGAGCAAGCAGGACCGUGCGUGACAACACUCACCCACGGGCCGGUGGAGGAACCAAGGGCUGCCGGGGAGCGCUAUCACAUUGAAGGAUGGGUGCCCAUUUCACGUGAACUGCCCCAGGGAACAGGGAAGAGGGUGGAAAGCCAGAACCUCCCGGGCUUUCUGAGGACCUUCAAGCCCAAGGGCAGUGGGGCGGGGCUAGUCUCCGCGGGAUCCCGAGCCUUUUCAACGCUGAGCGCCGGGCGGGCACAGAGCGGCCCGGCACCCCGCGGCUUCCAGCCUCCCAGCACCCCGAAAGCCCGGCGGCCAGAUCGCAGGGGGAUGUGAGCUGCAGAGACAGAGGAAAGGGCCAGCUUUAAUCUCCACGGCCCAGAGAGGGGAUGAGACUAGCCCAAGGUCACACAGUCAGAUCGUGGCGGGGGCAGAACUAGAACUCGGGCCGUAUCUCUUGAUUGCAAGUCUGCUUCUUUUCUUGAUGGAAUUUGAGAAUCAAAGAGGAAUCAAGAUACUGUGGCUGAGGGCUCGCAGCUGGGACGCCGGAUACUCCGGGGAAUUCGUUUUUUUAUAUCUUAUUUUCCCUUUGGGAUUUCCUUUGGGAAUCCUAAGGACGGCGCGGCGGUGGAAACAGGCUCCAGGCACCCUGCCCCCCCAGGCCGUUGUCGCACAGCACCCCCGCCUGCGUCAUUCCAGCUAGGCCUGCGAGUCCUCCGCCCGCCACCAUCUGCCUGGAGUCCCUGCUCUCCGAGGCGGCAGACACAAAGCCUCCGCCUGCUGUUCAGUCUUCACUCAAGCAGGGAGGGUGUGUGGAGGCAGUGGCGGGUCCCGCUCUGGGGCCAGGCGGCCCAAGUUCAAGUCUUUGACCUGAUACUCACUAACUGUGCGAUACUGAGCCUUCACUUUCCCUCUCUGUACUUCCGUUUCUUCAUUUUAAAUUGGUGAAAAGAACAGUGCUUCAUACAGUUGGGUGGGAGGAUUAACAAACACAAGGAGUAUCAAAGCCUUAGUAAGGGGCUUGCCCCACGACAGAGGCCAGUUGGGUGCUUAAUUACCCAUAAAUCUGACAAACCUUUUCCGGAUCCUACAUGAAGCCUGCUGCUUCCAUGAAGUCCACCCAGAUUAACUUCAUUCAGUUUAAAUCCUUCUUGAUUCUCAGUACUUAAAGCAUAAAGGCAUUGUCUAACUGCAAUGGGGUCGCGGGAGCAGGCUUGUGCGUGUGCCCUCCCCUACACCACUAACCUAGAUUCAGAAGGCCUGAGGUUUGUAGUCCUCCCCUCCAAGGGCUGCUACUUGAUUUCGAGUAAAUCGCUUCAUAUUUUUUUAAAUUGUUUUGAGACAGUCUCGAUCUGUCUCCAGGCUGGAGUACAAUGGCGCCAUCUCAGCUCACUGCAACCUCCGCCUCCCGAGUUCAAGCGAUUUUCCUGCCUUGGCCUCCCCCAGUAGCUGGGAACUCGCCACCCAUACUCAGUACAGGCGCUCACCACCAUACUCAGCUAAUUUUUUUGUAUUUUUAGUAGAGACAGGGUUUCACCAUGUUGGCCAGGAUGGUCUAGAUCUGCUGACCUCAUGAUCUGCCCGCCUCGACCCCCCCAAAGUGCUGGGAUUACAGGUGUGAGCCACCAUACCCUGCCAAUUUUUAUUUUUAUUUUUUCGGAAACAGAGUCUGGCUCUGUAGCCCAGCUUGGAGUGCAAUAGUGAGAUCUAGGCUCACUGCAACAUCUGCCUCCCAGGUUCAAGGGCUUCUGCCUCAGCCUCCCAAGUGGCCAGGAUUACAGACUCACACCAUCAAGCCUGGCUAAUUGUUUUGUGUUUUUAGUAGAGCCAGGGUUUCACCAUGUUGGCCAGGCUGGUCUCAAAUUCCUGACCUCAGGUGAUCCACCCGACUCAGCCUCACAAAGUGCUAGGAUUAUGGGUGUGAACCACGGUGCCCAAUACAAAAUGUUUUUCCAAAGCAUAGUUAAUAACUUGGAAAAAUGAUAUCAAUAUAUGGUAUUUAUUUUUCUCUGAAUUUAACUUUUAUGUAAACGUUUUAUUUUAUGUACUUGUAUAUUUUUUGAGAUGGAGUCUCCUCCUGCUGCCCAGGCUGGAGUGCAGGGGCUUGAUCUUGGCUCGCUGCAACCUCCACCUCAUGUGUUCAAGUGAUUCUCCUCCUCAGCCUCCCAAGUAGCUAGGAUUACCGGCACCCACCACCACACCUGGCUAAUUUUUGUAUUUUUAGUAGAGACAGUGUUUUGCUAUGUUGGCCAGGCUGGUUUUGAACUCCUGGCCUCAGAUGAUCCGCCCAUCUUGGCCUCUCAAAGUGCUGGGAUUACAGGCUUGACCCACCUUGCACGACCUAUCCAGCUAAUUUUUCUUUUUUUUUUUUUUACAUGACAUGAAAAUUUUUACUUUCAAAAAGAAUGUAUUUUUUUAUUUUUAUUUUUUAUUUAUUUUUUAUUUUUUUAUUCCCCAGAACCUGAAGUGCAAAAAAAGAAUGUAUUUUUACAUCAAUCUGCAACAGAAUUCAAUUGUAGAAAAAAUAAGCUAUAUUCAGGGAUACAGUGCUCAGCACACCACACCCCCUCCCCAAAGUGAGCUGACACCCUGGCUUCACCAUAUUGGCAAGGCUGGUCUCUACCUCCUGACCUUGUGAUCCACCCACCCCACCUCCCAAAGUGUUGGGACUACAGGCGUGAGCCACCAUGCCUGGCCCUAGCCUUUCAAAGCUCUGGAAUUACAGGCAUAAGUGCCCAGCCUCCCAACUUUGUUUUAAAAAAGUGUAAGUACACUUAAAAAAAGUAAACAUAAGGAAAUCCUCCAACAUGUUAACAGUGUUACACCUGGGAGGGAGGAUUACUAUUGAUUAUCUUCAUCUUAAUUUUUCUAUAUUCUCCAAUUUUUUUCAAAUAAUGUGUUAUUUUUAUACAUAGAAGAAAACUACAAUUAUUGUAAUGGAAAUAUUGAAUAAUAUAUCUGAAAAUAUUUAAGGCUAAACAAAGGCAGGUUAGAUAUCACCUAUGUUUCAGUAAUCAGAAAUCUUUGAGAUUAAAAUUUAGCUUUUUGGGAGUUACACUUAUUAUUGUUGUCUUUUUGGUUUUUUCCUUUUUAUGGAGAACGGGGUCUUGCGAUAUUGCCCAGGCAGGUCUCGAACUCCUGGGCUCAAGCUAUCUCCCGCCUCCGCCUCCCUAAGAGCUGGGAUUACAGGCACGAGCCACUCAGUCAGUCCAUCAUUUCUCUCUGUGAAAGCCUCAUGCAGAGCUCUCUGCUUCCUUGGUUUCACCGGCCUUCUUGGCAUGGCCUUCUUGGCAUGACUUCUUUUAAAGUCAGGCAUGGUUCUCCCAAGGGUACCUUGGACAGUGCUCCACGGGACUGGAGAAGACCCCUGAAAUCCCUGCAGAGUUACCAGGCUACUUAAUUAACUGGCAUUUAAGGGUCUGUAGGCUCUGAACCAAUCUUCCUUACAACUCCCGUGUGUGUCAAUCAAACGGUCUGUCUGCCAUCUCCAAAGCCAGAAAGGGGCAGUAAUGAAUGAAGAGAGCUGCGUGUGAUGUCACUGGGAAAGGUGAGGACUGUGGCAAACUGGAGUAAGCCCACACCUUCAAACGAACGGCCACUUCUCAGUGACAGUCUAUUGCUAUCUGGUGGGGUCUUUCAAUUUUUCAAGAGAAUUGGAAAAGCUGGAUCUUUAUGUGAAGUCUGAUUUUUAAAUAAAUAUUGGCAGGUAAUUCACAAAACACAUUUGUCCACUCUGCUGAUCACAAUUUGCGACGACUUGUCUUAGGAACACAUUGAAUUUUUUUCCCUCUGCACCUUUUCUUUUGCUAUUCCCCAAUGCCAAGAACACUCCCCCACUCAUCUGAGACUAAUGAACUCCAUCUGUUCUGUCAGACCCAGGCAAAACACCACCUCUUCCUGAGCAUCCCCGCAGCCAGAAGUGACAUCGCCCUCCUUGGGGCUGCACCACACAUUUAGCUCUGUGCCUGUCUCACUCUAUGCUACAGUUGUUACAGUAAGAGUCCCAGCUCUCCUGGCAGAGAAUAAGCUCCUGAAAUAAUUCAGAAAACAUUUGUGGAGCACCCGCUAUGGUGCAGAAACCAUGCUAAGCUCUAGUGAUACAGCCUAGAAUAAGAUGGACAUGGUCUUUGCCUUGAUGGAAGACAGUCUAGUGUAGGGGGCAGGUUUUAAAUAAAUAAUUUCCAAGAUACCUAAUUCCAAUUGUGAUGAGGUGUAUGGGGUUAAGAAAGUUUAUAAAAGAGACUUAAUCCAGGCACAGGAGGAUUAAGCAAAUCACGAGGUAGCUUGGGGAAGCAUUAACAGUAGGGCUGCCACAUAAGGUUGUACAGUUUAUAUGUACAACGCCUGGCAACAUAGCAAGACACUGUCUCUAAAAUUAAAAAAAAAAAAAAAGUAGAGUUGAGGUCUCGCUAUGUUGCCCAGCCUGAUCUCAAACUCCUAGCCUCCAGGCCAAGGUGGGAGACCUUGGCCUCCCAAAGUAUCGGGAUUACAGGUGUGAGCCACUGUGCCCAACUCCUUUUUCUAAUCUGCACAAAGGCACUGGAUAGACUAGCAGAGGCAGCGUUUAGUUCACCCCUACCCAAAGCUGUUCUAAAUAACCUUAGAAUCUAAGUAGAAACGGUGACUUCCCCAUGUACAUGCAGCCCAAAGAGAUGUUCCCUGCUCCCCACUUUCUAUGCUAACCCUUAGACCUCUGGGAUCAGGGAACGUACCCACAAGGAAGUGACAUAGGAGCUGAGACUGAAGGAUAAGAAGGGGCCAGCCAGCUUGGAGUAGGAGGAAUAGCAUGUGCAAGGCCUCUGAGGAGAGAAGGUACCAUGGCCAAAGGUGGCCAUUGUGGUAGAAGCAUGGACAGAGAUGGGAGAGCAUUAAGGGGUAGGCUGGGCAGUGACCACCCUGCACAGCCCAGAAAGCCACAUUAAGGGGUGCAAUUCUUAUCCUGAAAUUAUCCCUUCCAUAUUGCACUCCAUAACCACGUCGCUUCUUGGUCUUACUGCCCACGAGAGAGUGUGCACAGUGGUAGAAACUACCACGCAGCACGGACUGCUGGGGCCACACAUUCAUUCUGCCUUUUUUAUUCUCCUGAAGUAACUAUUCUUUGAUUUCCAUGGAACAGAUGAAAAAAUGGAGGCAAAGAGAAGAUAAGCAGCCUGCCUGAGGUUAGCUGACUAUUAACGGGUAGGCUGGGAUCCACUCCCAGGUCUAUGGGACUUCAAGCCCUUUCUCUUGGCUGUCAUGCAGCAAUGAUAUCUAUGAAUAGACCAGAAGUGCAAGGAGUCUACAGCCUUGCCACUCAGAGGCAGGGGGUUCUAAAGGCCUGCAAAACUAUCACCUGGAAGUUUGUCAGAAAUGCAGGAUCUAGGGUUCCAUCCAGCCCUACUGAAUCAGAAUCUACACUUAAAUUUUUUUUUUUUUUUUUUUUUUUUUUUGAGACAGAGUCUCACUCUGUCACUAGGCUGGAGUAAAGUGGUGCGAUCUUGGUUCACUGCAACCUCUGCCUCCCAGGUUCAAGCGAUGAUUCUCCUGCCUCAGCCUCCAGAGUAGUUGGCACUCCAGGCAUAUACCACCAUGCCCAGCUAAUUUUUGUAUUUUUAGUAAAGCCAGGGUUUCACCAUGUUGGCCAGGAUUGUCUCCAUCUCUUGAUCUUGUGAUUCACCCACCUCAGUCUCCCAAAGUGUGGGGAUUACCAGCGUGAGCCACUGUGCCUAGCUAAAAAUUUUUUAAAUCUUUUUUUGUGUGUGUAUGACGGAUCUCACUGCAUUGCCCAGGCUAAUGUAUAGAAGCGCAAACUCAGCUCCCUGUAGUCCCUACCUCCUGGGCUCAAGGGAUCUUCCUGCCUCAGCCUCCCAAGAAGCUGGCACAGGCCUCCAUGCCCAACUAAUUUUUAAAUUUUUCGUAGAGACGGGGAUCUCACCAUGUUGCCCAGGCUGGUCUCAAAUUCCUGAGCUCAAGCAAUCCUCCUGCCUCGGUCUCCCAAAAUGCUGGAAUUACAAGUGUGAGCCACCAUGCCCAGCCAGAAUCUAUACUUUACAGGAAUCAUGUACACAUUAGGAGCUGAGAAGCACUAAACUAGAGAAUAAGCAAAGUGGCAUACCGCCUCUGCAGCCCUUAUGCAACAGCAUCUCAUAUGCCAGGUUUCCAAUGACCCGAAAACAACUUAUUAUAACCAAAUAUACCAGAUUGGCCAACUGUUCCAUCCAUCUAUCCACCCUAGUUUUGUCAUCUAUUGCCACUCCAAGGGAAAAACUGUGAGACGCUACCAUCAACUCCAAAGAGGAGCUGCUGUACACUCCAAAUCAUCUUCCAUUUGGGGGUCUACUCUGAUCCCCAGAUCAUUUUCUGGAACCCACUUUUUACAAAAGAAUUCCCUAUCUUAGCCUGCAUACCAAAGGACGCAGAAUGGUUUGGCAGAAAAGAUUAGUGGGUGAGGAAAUGCAGGGUUCCCCUUCAGCUUUAAGGCCACAUGUGACUUUGGGAAAUGGCCUACCCUCACUUCCCCAUACCCAUGUAAAAUAUGAAUGGGGUGGACUAGACUAGGAAUCACUGUAUAUGAGGCCUGGCAGGGAACAUAAAGGAAACUCAGUGGCCUAGGUGAAGCAGUAGGGACUGGUGCAGACUGUGGCAAACUAGAAGGUGCAAUGCCCUGACUACAAAAAGGUAUCCCCACUCAGAAAUAGGCUAGUGUUAUGGGUAAUGCGUUGCCCUAUAUUCUAAUUUUUUAAGUUGGGAAUCUGAUUUUCCUCCAAGAAAUGAGUGAUGUUUAAGUACUGGCAACUACGAAUAGUUAAAACUUAAGAACAAACACAACACCGUGUGAACCAAAUAAAGAUCAGGCGCAGGCCAGAUCUGUCCGUGGGCCGCCAGUUUGCGAUGCCUGGCCCGGAUGCCACCCUAAUGUUAUGUAUUAGUUUGCCUGUGCGGCUCUUCCCGAAUGCUGCAAAGCGACAGCUGUAGGAUGGGGGUUGAGAGGAGUUCCCUGGAGUCAGCACCUAGAGAAGGAGUGCUCCAAACCUGCUGACCCUCCUUGGUCCAGAGCUGUGGACACUGCUGGUUCUAUGAGUUUGUUUCCCUGGCUCCAGUCUGCCCUGUGCCCUGGAAAUAAGAGGUAAGAAGAGAAAGGAAAAGGAGGCCUGGAUGCCUAGAGAUUUUCCACUUCUAGCAAGAACAUUGUCAAGCAAGAGUUCAACAUACCAUUUCACAGAUGCAGUAACUGAGGUGUUGGCCUCGCCUCACAGAGAGUUUGUAAAGACUAGAAGCCCAGCCCAGGUGACUCCCAUGUGAAGCUUUUCCUAUAUUUAUGUACUAUUUCUCUACUAUUUCUUGACCAGCCUAUAGUGAAUCUCACCUCCUCAAAUGAUAUGGUAUGAAUGUUUGUCCCUGCCAAAUCUCAUAUUGAAAUAUGAUUUCCAUUGUUGGAGGUGGGGCCUGGCAGAAAGUGAUUGGAUCGUGGAGGCAGACUCCUCAUGAAUGGAUUAGCACCAUCCUCUUAGUUCAUGUAAGAUCUGGUUGUUUCAAAGAGUCUGGGACUUCCCCUUCUCUCUCAUGCUCCCACUCUUGCCCUGUGAUGCACCUGCUCCCCUUUGCCUUUCACCAUGAUUGGAAGCUUUCUGAGGCCUCACCAGAAGGAGUUGCAAGCAUUACACUUCUUGCAGAAUUGU